rnacentral:rRNA from 1 species
GACGAACGCUGGCGGCGUGCUUAACACAUGCAAGUCGAACGGAAAGGCCCUUCGGGGUACUCGAGUGGCGAACGGGUGAGUAACACGUGGGUGAUCUGCCCUGCACUUUGGGAUAAGCCUGGGAAACUGGGUCUAAUACCGGAUAGGACUACGCGAUGCAUGUCGUGUGGUGGAAAGCUUUUGCGGUGUGGGAUGGGCCCGUGGCCUAUCAGCUUCUUGGUGAGGUUAUGGCUUACCAAGGCGACGACGGGUAGCCGGCCUGAGAGGGUGACCGGCCACACUGGGACUGAGAUACGGCCCAGACUCCUACGGGAGGCAGCAGUGGGGAAAAUUGCACAAUGGGCGCAAGCCUGAUGCAGCGACGCCGCGUGAGGGAUGACGGCCUUCGGGUUGUAAACCUCUUUCAGUAGGGACGAAGCGCAAGUGACGGUACCUAUAGAAGAAGGACCGGCCAACUACGUGCCAGCCGCCGCUGUAA